rnacentral:rRNA from 1 species
UACGUAGGGUGCAAGCGUUGUCCGGAUUCACUGGGUUUAAAGGGUGCGCAGGUUGGGCGGUCAGUCCAUGAUGAAAUGCUCGGGCUUAACCCGUAGCGCUGUUAUGGAUACGUCCGCUCUUGAGAUAGGUUGAGGUAGCUGGAAUGAGUGGUGUAGCGGUGAAAUGCGUAGAGAUCACUCAGAACACCGAUUGCGAAGGCAGGCUACUGGACCUUAUCUGACGCUGAGGCACGAAAGCGUGGGGAGCAAACAGG